rnacentral:rRNA from 1 species
ACUCCUACGGGAGGCAGCAGUGGGGAAUCUUGGACAAUGGGCGCAAGCCUGAUCCAGCCAUGCCGCGUGAGUGAUGAAGGCCCUAGGGUCGUAAAGCUCUUUCGCCAGAGAUGAUAAUGACAGUAUCUGGUAAAGAAACCCCGGGCUAACUCCGUGCCAGCAGCCGCGGUAAUACGGAGGGGGUUAGCGUUGUUCGGAAUUACUGGGCGUAAAGCGCGCGUAGGCGGACUGGAAAGUUGGGGGUGAAAUCCCGGGGCUCAACCCCGGAACUGCCUCCAAAACUAUCAGUCUAGAGUUCGAGAGAGGUGAGUGGAAUUCCGAGUGUAGAGGUGAAAUUCGUAGAUAUUCGGAGGAACACCAGUGGCGAAGGCGGCUCACUGGCUCGAUACUGACGCUGAGGUGCGAAAGUGUGGGGAGCAAACAGGAUUAGAUACCC